UGGGGGAUAUUGCACAAUGGGCGAAAGCCUGAUGCAGCGACGCCGCGUGGGGGAUGAAGGCUUUCGGGUUGUAAACCUCUUUCGCUAUCGAACAAGCCCCGCUUAGGGUGGGUUGAGGGUAGGUGGAGAAGAAGCGCCGGCUAACUACGUGCCAGCAGCCGCGGUAAUACGUAGGGCGCGAGCGUUGUCCGGAAUUAUUGGGCGUAAAGGGCUUGUAGGCGGCUUGUUGCGCCUGCUGUGAAAACGCGGGGCUUAACUUCGCGCGUGCAGUGGGUACGGGCAGGCUUGAGUGUGGUAGGGGUGACUGGAAUUCCAGGUGUAGCGGUGGAAUGCGCAGAUAUCUGGAGGAACACCGAUGGCGAAGGCAGGUCACUGGGCCAUUACUGACGCUGAGGAGCGAAAGCAUGGGUAGCGAACAGG
rnacentral:rRNA from 1 species